GAUGAACGCUGGCGGCGUGCCUAAUACAUGCAAGUCGAACGAAGAGAGAAGCUCGCUUCUCUUUUAGUGGCGAACGGGUGAGUAAUACAUAAGCAACCUACCUAUUUGACCGGGAUAACAGUUGGAAACGACUGCUAAUACCGGAUAGGUGCGCGGGGGACAUCCCCUGCACAUUAAAGCUGGGACACAGCACGAAUGGAUGGGCUUAUGGCGCAUUAGUUAGUUGGCGGGGUAACGGCCCACCAAGACGAUGAUGCGUAGCCGACCUGAGAGGGUGACCGGCCACACUGGGACUGAGACACGGCCCAGACUCCUACGGGAGGCAGCAGUGGGGAAUAUUGGGCAAUGGGCGCAAGCCUGACCCAGCGACGCCGCGUGGGCGAUGAAGGCCUUCGGGUCGUAAAGCCCUGUCAUGUGGGAAGAACUGUCUCGUGGCUAAUACCUGCGAGAUUUGACGGUACCACAGGAGGAAGUACCGGCUAACUCCGUGCCAGCCGCCGCAGUAAUAC
rnacentral:rRNA from 1 species